UGCAGUCACAAUAGCAAGGAGGAUACACCUGUUCCCAUUCCGAACACAGAAGUUAAGCUCCUUAGCGCCGAUGGUACUUGGAUCGAAGGGUCCCGGGAGAGUAGGACGUGGCUGCGU
rfam:Peptoclostridium acidaminophilum DSM 3953 chromosome, complete genome.